rnacentral:rRNA from 1 species
ACUCAAAGGAAUUGACGGGGGCCCGCACAAGCGGAGGAACAUGUGGUUUAAUUCGAUGAUACGCGAGGAACCUUACCCGGGCUUGAAAUGGAGUGGAAUAUGGUGGAAACAUCAUAGUCAGCAAUGACCACUUUGUAGGUGCUGCAUGGUUGUCGUCAGCUCGUGCCGUGAGGUGUCGGCUUAAGUGCCAUAACGAGCGCAACCCUUAUCAUUAGUUACCAUCAGGUUAAGCUGGGGACUCUAGUGAGACUGCCACCGUAAGGUGUGAGGAAGGUGGGGAUGACGUCAAAUCAGCACGGCCCUUACGUCCGGGGCGACACACGUGUUACAAUGGGGGGUACAGAGGGUUGCUACCUGGUGACAGGAUGCUAAUCUCACAAAUCCUCUCUCAGUUCGGAUCGGAGUCUGCAACUCGACUUCGUGAAGCUGGAUUCGCUAGUAAUCGCGCAUCAGCCAUGGCGCGGUGAAUACGUUCCCGGGCCUUGUACACACCGCCCGU